rnacentral:lncRNA from 1 species
GGCCAGGCCAAGAUUGUAAGGGUCAAGCUUGGGCCUAAAAAUAGAGCUCAAAUAAAUUUCGAGAUAGCUCGAGCAUAUGCUCAUCCAAUCUAUAACUUUAUUCUCUCUUCAUCUCCUCUCUCUCUCUCUCUUAUCUCCCCUCCCUCUUUACUACAAAACCUCUCUUUCCCCUCUCAUCUCUCUCCAGUCUGCCUCUUAAUCUCGCUCUUCCCUCUCUCUCAUUCAAUCUCUCUCCCACUCCUC